AAAAAGACAAACCCUGGUUUCCGUGUCCAACGUUUGACCGUCCGUCUUAUUUGAAAAAAUUAUGAAAAAAAUUAAAAAGACAAGUCACACAUAAAAUAUUAAUCAUGUUUUUAUCAUCUAACAACAAUGAAAAUACGAAUUAUAAAAAAAAUUUAUAUAAGACGGACAGUCAAAGUUGAACACAGAAACUCAGGGUUUGUCUUUUU
rfam:Oryza sativa (indica cultivar-group) chromosome 2, whole genome shotgun sequence.